rnacentral:rRNA from 1 species
UACGGAGGGGGCUAGCGUUGUUCGGAAUUACUGGGCGUAAAGCGCACGUAGGCGGACCAGCAAGUUGGGGGUGAAAUCCCGGGGCUCAACCCCGGAACUGCCCUUGAAACUGGAGAGCUAGAAUCUUGGAGAGGCGAGUGGAAUUCCGAGUGUAGAGGUGAAAUUCGUAGAUAUUAGGAAGAACACCAGUGGCGAAGGCGGCUCACUGGUCCGGUUCUGACGCUGAGGCGCGAAAGCGUGGGGAGCAAACAGG